rnacentral:rRNA from 1 species
CUACGGGCGGCUCCAGUCGAGAAUCUUCGGCAAUGGGCGAAAGCCUGACCGAGCGACGCCGCGUGCAGGAGGACGCCUCUAGGGGUGUAAACUGCUUUUAUGUGGGAACAAGACUUCGGUUUGAGCGUACCACAUGAAUAAGGAGCUGCUAAUCUCGUGCCAGCAGCAGCGGUAAUACGAGAGCUCCAAGCGUUAUCCGGAAUCAUUGGGCGUAAAGGGUCCGUAGGCGGAAUGGUAAGUUACAUGUUAAAGCUCCCGGCUUAACCGGGAAAAUGCCUGUAAUACUGCCAUACUAGAGUAUGUGAGAGGCUGAUGGAACGCAUGGAGUAGGGAUGAAAUCCGUUGAUACCAUGCGGAACACCAAAGGCGAAGGCAUUCAGCUGGCACAUUACUGAUGCUGAGGGACGAAAGCUAGGGUAGCGAAAGGGAUUAGAUACCCCCGUAGUC